CGCCUGUUUAACAAAAACAUGUCCUUUUGUUUGUUUAUUUAAGGUUUAACCUGCCCCAUGAGAAAUUUCUUUAAUGGCCGCGGUAUUUUAACCGUGCUAAGGUAGCAUAAUCAUUUGUCUUUUAAUUGGAGGCUUGAAUGAAGGGUUGGACGAGAUAUUAGCUUUCUUUAAUUUAAAUUUUGAAUUUAACUUUUUAGUUAAAAGGCUAAAAUGUUUUUGAGGGACGAUAAGACCCUAUAGAUCUUUAUAAUAUUUUAUAUUAAAAAUUUUAGUUAAUUUUUUUUUAAUAUAAUUAUCUUAUUUGGUUGGGGUGAUUGCAGAAAUUUAAUAACUUCUGUUUUUUAUUUCAUUAAUUAAUGUAUAAAUGAUCCAUUAUUAUUGAUUAUAAGAUUAAGUUACCUUAGGGAUAACAGCGUUAUUUUUACGGAGAGUUCUUAUCGAUGUAAGAGUUUGCGACCUCGAUGUUGGAUUAAAAUAAGUGUUAGGCGUAGCUGUUUAAUAACUAGGUCUGUUCGACCUUUAAUUUUUUACAUGAUCUGAGUUCAGACCGG
rnacentral:rRNA from 1 species